rnacentral:tRNA from 1 species
GCGUGAGGAGCUCGACUGGCUGAGCACCUGCCUUCCAAGCAGGCGAUUGCGGGUUCGAAUCCCGUCUCACGCU